GCCCUCUUAGCUCAGUGGAUAGAGCGUCUGCCUCCGGAGCAGAAGGCCGCAGGUUCGAAUCCUGCAGAGGGCGCCA
rnacentral:tRNA from 1 species